rnacentral:rRNA from 1 species
GACGAACGCUGGCGGCGUGCCUAAUACAUGCAAGUAGAACGCACAGUUUAUACCGUAGCUUGCUACACCAUAGACUGUGAGUUGCGAACGGGUGAGUAACGCGUAGGUAACCUGCCUGGUAGCGGGGGAUAACUAUUGGAAACGAUAGCUAAUACCGCAUAAUAUUAAUUAUUGCAUGAUAAUUAAUUGAAAGGUGCAAUUGCACCACUACCAGAUGGACCUGCGUUGUAUUAGCUAGUAGGUGAGGUAACGGCUCACCUAGGCGACGAUACAUAGCCGACCUGAGAGGGUGAUCGGCCACACUGGGACUGAGACACGGCCCAGACUCCUACGGGAGGCAGCAGUAGGGAAUCUUCGGCAAUGGGCGAAAGUCUGACCGAGCAACGCCGCGUGAGUGAAGAAGGUUUUCGGAUCGUAAAGCUCUGUUGUAAGAGAAGAACGGGUGUGAGGGUGGAAAGUUCACACUGUGACGGUAUCUUACCAGAAAGGGACGGCUAACUACGUG